GUGGAGCUGGAAAGGUGGAGGCGGAAGUGACUGAUCAAUUCAGGGGCGUGGGGUUCGUUUAGGUUUUGCCCUGUGUAUGACCUCGUUUGGAGCCAUGAAACCAGCCUCAAGCUUUAUUCUAGGAAGAUGAGCAAAGCAGACCUUGGUGGCCAGAGGGGAGCCCUCAGGUAGAGCUGCAGAUGCUGGCAGUUUGUGUUAGAAGGUUCUGGGGCUAAACAGAUGCCUAGAAUUAGCCACCAAAAGGUAAAUUGUAGACUCCGCUCUUCAAGAAGCAGCAGAAGGAUUAGGAAUUCAAACAGUGCUAUUUUACGGUGGCUUUUCUACAAUAUAAAGAUGGAAAUGGGAUGAUGUUCAUUGCAAAUUAGGGAAGCUCUUCCACGAGUUCACGAAUGGAAAU
rnacentral:lncRNA from 1 species